GUUCUUGUCUUAAUCGAUCACUUGACCAUCACUCUUCUUGUCUUGUUUGCAAGACACCAUUGAUAUGUUAUUUGGCUGAUGUUGUUAACAAGACUUAUGACCAAGUAUUUAAUCAUAAUAUUGAGGGUUGCUGCUGAGCAGGAAGUUGUUGAUGAAGCCAGUCUUCCUAUAUUUGUAUGUACCACUACAUUUGCAACUGUUUGGUGCCUUUGCGUAUAUAUCACCUGAUUCUAAGACACUAUUGAAUCUGGUAGUGUACAGUUUAGAAUGUGUGAACCAGUAGAGGGUGCACCAUGUUGGGACAGUACUAAGAUUGAGUUUUUGUCUGAUGGACGAUUUGUACUUGACACCAUGGGUGGAAGGAGAUUUCAGGUAAUUAGUCGUGGAAUUUCAGAUGGCUAUAACAGAGCUGUUGUUCAGUAGUUUUCUGACAACAGGGUGAUUAAUAGUCAACAAAACGAAGUUUCACAGCUGUACAUAACGUACGAAAAGAAAUAUCCACGGAGGAGAAGAAGAAAGAACUAAGAAGAACAUAAUUGGCGCAUGGGCCUUCGAGGCUAGCAACUGUUUUCUAGGUUGUUAGUUAGUUAGAUGAUUAGUGACCAAAGAAAAAUAGGAUAUAGUACACAACAUGCACACAUAUCAUUUCGUUGAUUUUGAGCAAUUUUAGUCUUUAUUUACUAUGUUUUUUAGGUGUGCAAAAUGAU